rnacentral:rRNA from 1 species
UACGUAGGGUGCAAGCGUUGUCCGGAAUUAUUGGGCGUAAAGAGCUCGUAGGCGGUUUGUCGCGUCUGCUGUGAAAACGCGAGGCUCAACCUCGCGCCUGCAGUGGGUACGGGCAGACUAGAGUGUGGUAGGGGAGAUUGGAAUUCCUGGUGUAGCGGUGAAAUGCGCAGAUAUCAGGAGGAACACCGGUGGCGAAGGCGGUGGUCUGGGCCGGCACUGACGCUGAGGAGCGAAAGCGUGGGGAGCAAACAGG